rnacentral:rRNA from 1 species
GUGGGGAAUAUUGGACAAUGGGCGCAAGCCUGAUCCAGCCAUGCCGCGUGAGUGAUGAAGGCCCUAGGGUUGUAAAGCUCUUUCAGCUGGGAAGAUAAUGACGGUACCAGCAGAAGAAGCCCCGGCUAACUCCGUGCCAGCAGCCGCGGUAAUACGGAGGGUGCAAGCGUUAUCCGGAUUUAUUGGGUUUAAAGGGUGCGUAGGCGGCGUUAUAAGUCUGGGGUUAAAGGCGGCAGCUUAACUGUACGCAUGCCUUGGAAACUGUGAGGCUUGAGUGACUUGGAGGUAGCUGGAAUUCCCUGUGUAGCGGUGAAAUGCAUAGAUACGGGGAGGAAUACCGAUUGCGAAGGCAUGUUACUACGAGUAAACUGACGCUGAUGCACGAAAGCGUGGGGAUCAAACAGGAUUAGAUACCCCAGUAGUCC